GGAACUGCCCUUGUGACUGCGAAGCUAGAGUAUGGCAGAGGGGGGUAGAAUUCCACGUGUAGCAGUGAAAUGCGUAGAGAUGUGGAGGAAUACCGAUGGCGAAGGCAGCCCCCUGGGCCAAUACUGACGCUCAUGCACGAAAGCGUGGGGAGCA
rnacentral:rRNA from 1 species